rnacentral:rRNA from 1 species
AUUGAACGCUGGCGGCAGGCCUAACACAUGCAAGUCGAGCGGGGACUUCGGUCCUAGCGGCGAACGGGUGAGUAAUGCUUGGGAAUCUGCCCAGUAGUGGGGGAUAACGUCCCGACAGGGACGCUAAUGCCGCAUACGUCCUACGGGAGAAAGAGGGGGAUCUUCGGACCUCUCGCUAUUGGAUGAGCCCAAGUCGGAUUAGCUAGUUGGUAGGGUAAUGGCCUACCAAGGCGACGAUCCGUAGCUGGUCUGAGAGGAUGAUCAGCCACACUGGAACUGAGACACGGUCCAGACUCCUACGGGAGGCAGCAGUGGGGAAUAUUGGACAAUGGGCGAAAGCCUGAUCCAGCCAUGCCGCGUGUGUGAAGAAGGCCUUCGGGUUGUAAAGCACUUUAAGCGGGGAGGAAGGUUCGCGGCCUAAUACGUCGCGGAAUUGACGUUACCCGCAGAAUAAGCACCGGCUAACUCUGUG